GCCUGGAGCGCGCGCCGGACCGGCCGGGGGUCCCGGCGAUGUUGGCGCUCCCCGCGCGCGCUGCGGACCCCGCUGACCUUGGCCGCGUCCCGGGGGCGCCGGGGGGCCCGGCGGCGGGGGCCUGAGUGGUACGCGGGAGCCCGGGAACCCCAGCGUGCCGGUCCCCGCUGACCCCGCGUCUCCCCGCAGCCCGCCGCCGCCAUGCCCUUCUCCAACAGCCACAACGCACUGAAGCUGCGCUUCCCGGCCGAGGACGAGUUCCCCGACCUGAGCGCCCACAACAACCACAUGGCCAAGGUGCUGACCCCCGAGCUGUACGCGGAGCUGCGAGCCAAGAGCACGCCGAGCGGCUUCACGCUGGACGACGUCAUCCAGACAGGCGUGGACAACCCGGGCCACCCGUACAUCAUGACCGUGGGCUGCGUGGCGGGCGACGAGGAGUCCUACGAAGUGUUCAAGGAUCUCUUCGACCCCAUCAUCGAGGACCGGCACGGCGGCUACAAGCCCAGCGAUGAGCACAAGACCGACCUCAACCCCGACAACCUGCAGGUGCGGGGCGGCGGGCGGGCCGGGCGGGCGGGGCCGGGGUCUCCGGGCGCUCACUCCCGUCUCGCCCCCCAGGGCGGCGACGACCUGGACCCCAACUACGUGCUGAGCUCGCGGGUGCGCACGGGCCGCAGCAUCCGUGGCUUCUGCCUCCCCCCGCACUGCAGCCGCGGGGAGCGCCGCGCCAUCGAGAAGCUC
rnacentral:sRNA from 1 species